rnacentral:snoRNA from 1 species
UUCCAAUGAAAAAGCAUUUACACAGCUUACUUCCUGUCCUAGCCCCAGAACCUGUAAAGGUAAAUCCAUUGAGGAUAGCUGGGGAGAGAAGUGGAAAAUUUGUUCCAGAAGGAACUGAGAUCAUCAGAAUUUCUGCACAUGGGAAA